UGUCAAAGAGACACACACUAAAUUAGCAGGGAGUGUUAUAAAAGCUUUGGAGUGCAAGCUCACAGCUGUCUUAAUAAGAAGAGAAGGCUUCAAUGGAACCUUUUGUGGUCCUGGUGCUGUGUCUCUCUUUUAUGCUUCUCUUUUCACUCUGGAGACAGAGCUCUGGGAGAAGGAAGCUCCCUCCUGGCCCCACUCCUCUUCCUAUUAUUGGAAAUAUGCUACAGAUAGAUGUUAAGGACAUCUGCAAAUCUUUCAGCAAUUUCUCAAAAGUCUAUGGUCCUGUGUUCACCGUGUAUUUUGGCAUGAAUCCCAUAGUGGUGUUGCAUGGAUAUGAGGCAGUGAAGGAAGCCCUGAUUGAUAAUGGAGAGGAGUUUUCUGGAAGAGGCAGUUCCCCAAUAUCUCAAAGAAUUACUAAAGGACUUGGAAUCAUUUCCAGCAAUGGAAAGAGAUGGAAGGAGAUCCGGCGUUUCUCCCUCACAACCUUGCGGAAUUUUGGGAUGGGGAAGAGGAGCAUUGAGGACCGUGUUCAAGAGGAAGCUCACUGCCUUGUGGAGGAGUUAAGAAAAACCAAGGCCUCACCCUGUGAUCCCACUUUCAUCCUGGGCUGCGCUCCCUGCAAUGUGAUCUGCUCCGUUGUUUUCCAGAAACGAUUUGAUUAUAAAGAUCAGAAUUUUCUCACCCUGAUGAAAAGAUUCAAUGAAAACUUCAGGAUUCUGAACUCCCCAUGGAUCCAGGUCUGCAAUAAUUUCCCUCUACUCAUUGAUUGUUUCCCAGGAACUCACAACAAAGUGCUUACAAAUGUUGCUCUUACACAAAGUUACAUUAGGGAGAAAGUAAAAGAACACCAAGCAUCACUGGAUGUUAACAAUCCUCGGGACUUUAUCGAUUGCUUCCUGAUCAAAAUGGAGCAGGAAAAGGACAACCAAAAGUCAGAAUUCAAUAUUGAAAACUUGGUUGGCACUGUAGCUGAUCUAUUUGUUGCUGGAACAGAGACAACAAGCACCACUCUGAGAUAUGGACUCCUGCUCCUGCUGAUGCACCCGGAGGUCACAGCUAAAGUCCAGGAAGAGAUUGAUCAUGUAAUUGGCAGACACAGGACCCCCUGCAUGCAGGAUAGGAGCCACAUGCCUUACACUGAUGCUGUAGUGCACGAGAUCCAGAGAUACAGUGACCUUGUCCCCACCGGUGUGCCCCAUGCAGUGACCACUGAUACUAAGUUCAGAAACUACCUCAUCCCCAAGAGCUUUGAUAACAAGAUAAUGCUGGCUGCAUAAAACUAGGGCACAACCAUAAUGACAUUACUGACUUCCGUGCUACACGAUGACAAAGAAUUUCCUAAUCCAAAUAUCUUUGACCCUGGCCACUUUCUAGAUAAGAAUGGCAACUUUAAGAAAAGUGACUACUUCAUGCCUUUCUCAGCAGGAAAACGAAUUUGUGCAGGAGAAGGACUUGCCCGCAUGGAGCUAUUUUUAUUUCUAACCACAAUUUUACAGAACUUUAACCUGAAAUCUGUUGAUGAUUUAAAGAACCUCAAUACUACUGCAGUUACCAAAGGGAUUGUUUCUCUGCCACCCUCGUACCAGAUCUGCUUCAUCCCUGUCUGAAGAAUGCUAGCCCAUCUGGCUGCCGAUCUGCUAUCACCUGCAAUUCUUUUUUUAUCAAGGACAUUCCCACUAUUAUGUCUUCUCUGACCUCUCAUCAAAUCUUCCCAUUCACUCAAUAUCCCAUAAGCAUCCAAACUCCAUUAAGGAGAGUUGUUCAGGUCACUGCACAAAUAUAUCUGCAAUUAUUCAUACUCUGUAACACUUGUAUUAAUUGCCGCAUAUGCUAAUACUUUUCUAAUGCUGACUUUUUAAUAUGUUAUCACUGUAAAACACAGAAAAGUGAUUAAUGAAUGAUAAUUUAGAUCCAUUUCUUUUGUGAAUGUGCUAAAUAAAAAGUGUUAUUAAUUGCUGGUUCA